rnacentral:rRNA from 1 species
AUCCGGAUUUAUUGGGUUUAAAGGGUGCGCAGGCGGAUCAAUAAGUCAGGGGUGAAAAAUUUCAGCUUAACUGGAAUCGUGCCUUUGAUACUGUUGGACUAGAGUAUAAUUGACGUGACUGGAAUGUGAUGUGUAGCGGUGAAAUGCUUAGAUAUGUCACAGAACGCCAAUCGUGAAGACAGGUCACGAAAUUAUUACUGACGCUCAUGCACGAAAGCGUGGGGAUCAAACAGGAUUAGAUACCCUGGUAGUCCACGCUGUAAACGAUGAUUACUCGUUGUUGGGCAGUGAUGCUCAGUGGCUAAGCGAAAGCGAUAAGUAAUCCACCUGGGGAGUACGAUCGCAAGGUUGAAACUCAAAGGAAUUGACGGGGGCCCGCACAAGCGGAGGAGCAUGUGGUUUAAUUCGAUGAUACGCGAGGAACCUUACCCGGGCUUGAACGUAAGACGAAUAUAUAAGAGAUUAUAUAGCCUUCGGGCGUCUUGCGAGGUGCUGCAUGGUUGUCGUCAGCUCGUGCCGUGAGGUGUUAGGUUAAGUCCUGCAACGAGCGCAACCCUUACACUUAGUUGCCAGCACGUUAUGGUGGGAACUCUAAGUGAACUGCCUACGCAAGUAGAGAGGAAGGUGGGGAUGACGUCAAAUCAGCACGGCCCUUAUGUCCGGGGCUACACACGUGCUACAAUGGUAUGUACAGAGGGCAGCCACCUGGUGACAGGGAGCUAAUCCUCAAAGCAUAUCUCAGUUCGGAUUGGAGUCUGUAACUCGACUCUAUGAAGUUGGAUUCGCUAGUAAUCGCGCAUCAGCCAUGGCGCGGUGAAUACGUUCCCGGGCCUUGUACACACCGCCCGUCAAGCCAUGGAAGCCUGUGGUACCUAAAGUCCGUGCCCGCAAGGAGCGGCCUAGGGUAAAACCGGUAACUGGGGCUAAGUCGUAACAAGGUAACCAAU